AAUUACAAACAAAAUUAUCCGUUAACCGUUAUCCACACCAUUCUCCUCUCCUGCACCGCACGAUAACGCGCCCUUUUAACUACUCUUAUCUUUUCACCAAACAGUUUCUGGGCAAAAGAAAGCGGUGAAACAGCAAAAGAAAAGCUCUAAUCUGGAUCAAUGACGACGAUAACAGCUACGAUAAGACCAGUAAUGACGGGUGUGCCGUGGCCAAGUCCCAACACCUUGGCAGAAUUUCACCGAAGAGUUCGAAAGCAAGUUCUGACAUCGGUUUCAUUUCAUCCCAUUUGAGCGGCAUCAAAAUUUCAACCACUGCCUUCGAAAGUGCCCCUUGCACAAUUUCUGCCCCUUUUAGGCCUUCUCUUCAGCCUGUUGCCAGUAAGUUUCUUCGAUUCUCUUUGUGCGCGCGUUUGUGCUGUGAAAUUUGAUGCUAUAGUUCUUCUAUUACGCCUUUUUUAGUCGAUUAGGGGUUUAAUGUGGAGAAUUAUUUGAAUUAGUAUAUUCUGAUGUGAAUGAGUGUACUGGAUGUGGAGCUAAAGGUACUAAUUGGUCUGUUCUUGUUGCUGAUGUUUCCUUUCAAGUAUCUUGUUUCUGAAAUGAGAGAGGUUCGGUUGUAAAGUUUGCUCGAACACUGAUAAAUCCAAGCAAAACAAACUGGAAGUAUAUGAAAUGCAUUAUCUGGCUUAAGAGGGGAAACUUCAUCUUGUAAAAGUAGUUCAUUGAAUUUCUUAUGGAAUGAUUUCAUGUUGAUCUCAGCUACCUGUAGUCGUGUUAGCUAAGAAUUGUUGUUAUGCAACGAAGUUUUUGUAAAAAUGUCCACAUCCUGCAUAGCCCUAUUUGUGUUUACACAGCCGGAUUAGAGUGAUUAGAGUUGUCGGAAUAAUUUUACUUCGACUGGCUGAGAUUCAUGGAUGGUAGCAGCACCAGCACACCAGCACCUCGCAUUCGCAAUGCAAUUGGAGGUAGUUCUAGGAACUAUAACUUCUAUAUGGGCUAGGGUGGUCAAUUAGCUAGUGGUUUGUCUUGGACUAUUCCAUGAUAUUUCAUUUUUCCGUUUCUCAGAUAGUGUAUGAGAGACUGUAAUUCAUGAAGGUGGAUUUUUCGAGUUUUUGUACUUUCAUUUUCUUGGUGAUAAUGCGAAAGCAUAACAUUUUUUGAAUGUCAUUUGUUCUGCAAUCCUGUUACUCCACUUCAAGCAACCAGCCACUAGUUAACUAAGGGGGCGUUUGGUUUGAAGGAUGAGAUAGAUAAGAUUGGAGAGGUGAUUAAGUAAUCCACCCAACUUUGGGUGAUAAGAUUAUAUGCAGGCCGAGUUAUCAAUCACGGGCCCAAUCAUGCAAACCAAACCGAUUAAGGUUAAUUAUUUUAUCAAUCAUGCCUUAUCACUCAAACCAAACGCCUCCUAAGUGGUUAAGAAAAUUUUGCAUUGACUUUGAGCCUGUUCCUCAUAAUUUAUUUGGAAUGACAUGAAUUAUGUUGCUCGUACUCAUAGAAAACUGUGAGCUUUUAUUAGGAUUAUGAACAAAGAAGGGUCAUUUGUAUUUUUGGUUGAUUAGUUUUAUUUCGUGAUGUUAUUAUCUCUAUCUGAUAGGAUACGAGAGACUAUUUUCAUGAUGAUAUCUAUCUGAUAGGAUAUGAAGAACUUAGUAGCAGUGGCGUUUUCUUAGAAUUUUGAACAUUUCAACCAAUGGAAUCUGUCGCCAUACUUCUCUUUCACCACUAAUUUAUCAAGAAAGAAGCAAGAAUUUCUGCUUUUAGUGCUUUGAAAAAUUAUCAGAUGCUAUAUUCCAUGAUUUGAGUUAAAAGGAAAGCCAUAGGUUUUCUUUGAGUGAUACGAUAUUAGUCUUCUUCACAGCCAUAUUUCAAACUGCUCACGUUUGUAUUACAGGAAGAAUCUGUCCUUUCACGGGGAAAAAACCAAACAAGGCCAACAGGGUUUCCCACUCGAACCACAGGACAAUAAGACGGCAGUUUGUGAAUCUGCAGUAUAAGAAGAUAUGGUGGGAAGCUGGGAAGCGCUUUGUGAAGUUGCGAUUGUCAACCAAAGCUAUAAAGACAAUCGAGAAGAAUGGACUCGAUGCAGUGGCUAAGAAGGCCGGGAUUGAUCUCAGCAAAAUGUGAUCUCA
rnacentral:lncRNA from 1 species